AGAGUUUGAUCAUGGCUCAGAUUGAACGCUGGCGGCAGGCCUAACACAUGCAAGUCGAACGGUAACAGGAAACAGCUUGCUGUUUCGCUGACGAGUGGCGGACGGGUGAGUAAUGUCUGGGAAACUGCCUGAUGGAGGGGAUAACUACUGGAAACGGUAGCUAAUACCGCAUAACGUCGCAAGACCAAAGAGGGGGACCUUCGGGCCUCUUGCCAUCAGAUGUGCCCAGAUGGGAUUAGCUAGUAGGUGGGGUAACGGCUCACCUAGGCGACGAUCCCUAGCUGGUCUGAGAGGAUGACCAGCCACACUGGAACUGAGACACGGUCCAGACUCCUACGGGAGGCAGCAGUGGGGAAUAUUGCACAAUGGGCGCAAGCCUGAUGCAGCCAUGCCGCGUGUAUGAAGAAGGCCUUCGGGUUGUAAAGUACUUUCAGCGGGGAGGAAGGGAGUAAAGUUAAUACCUUUGCUCAUUGACGUUACCCGCAGAAGAAGCACCGGCUAACUCCGUGCCAGCAGCCGCGGUAAUACGGAGGGUGCAAGCGUUAAUCGGAAUUACUGGGCGUAAAGCGCACGCAGGCGGUUUGUUAAGUCAGAUGUGAAAUCCCCGGGCUCAACCUGGGAACUGCAUCUGAUACUGGCAAGCUUGAGUCUCGUAGAGGGGGGUAGAAUUCCAGGUGUAGCGGUGAAAUGCGUAGAGAUCUGGAGGAAUACCGGUGGCGAAGGCGGCCCCCUGGACGAAGACUGACGCUCAGGUGCGAAAGCGUGGGGAGCAAACAGGAUUAGAUACCCUGGUAGUCCACGCCGUAAACGAUGUCGACUUGGAGGUUGUGCCCUUGAGGCGUGGCUUCCGGAGCUAACGCGUUAAGUCGACCGCCUGGGGAGUACGGCCGCAAGGUUAAAACUCAAAUGAAUUGACGGGGGCCCGCACAAGCGGUGGAGCAUGUGGUUUAAUUCGAUGCAACGCGAAGAACCUUACCUGGUCUUGACAUCCACGGAAGUUUUCAGAGAUGAGAAUGUGCCUUCGGGAACCGUGAGACAGGUGCUGCAUGGCUGUCGUCAGCUCGUGUUGUGAAAUGUUGGGUUAAGUCCCGCAACGAGCGCAACCCUUAUCCUUUGUUGCCAGCGGUCCGGCCGGGAACUCAAAGGAGACUGCCAGUGAUAAACUGGAGGAAGGUGGGGAUGACGUCAAGUCAUCAUGGCCCUUACGACCAGGGCUACACACGUGCUACAAUGGCGCAUACAAAGAGAAGCGACCUCGCGAGAGCAAGCGGACCUCAUAAAGUGCGUCGUAGUCCGGAUUGGAGUCUGCAACUCGACUCCAUGAAGUCGGAAUCGCUAGUAAUCGUGGAUCAGAAUGCCACGGUGAAUACGUUCCCGGGCCUUGUACACACCGCCCGUCACACCAUGGGAGUGGGUUGCAAAAGAAGUAGGUAGCUUAACCUUCGGGAGGGCGCUUACCACUUUGUGAUUCAUGACUGGGGUGAAGUCGUAACAAGGUAACCGUAGGGGAACCUGCGGUUGGAUCACCU
rnacentral:rRNA from 1 species